rnacentral:sRNA from 1 species
ACUGGGCACGGUGGCGCAUGCCUGUAAUUCUAGCAGCUCGGGAGGCUGAGGCAGGAGGAUUGAGAGUUCAAAGCCACCCACAGCAAAAGCAAGGCUCUAAGCAACUUAGUGAGACCCUGUCUCUA